GGGGAUUUAGCUCAGCAGUAGAGCGCUUGCCUAGCAAGCACAAGGCCCUGGGUUCAGUCCCCAGCUCCG
rfam:Rattus norvegicus chromosome 10, whole genome shotgun sequence.